AGAGUUUGAUCCUGGCUCAGGAUGAACGCUGACAGAAUGCUUAACACAUGCAAGUCUACUUGAUCCUUCGGGUGAUGGUGGCGGACGGGUGAGUAACGCGUAAAGAACUUGCCCUGCAGUCUGGGACAACAUUUGGAAACGAAUGCUAAUACCGGAUAUUAUGUGAGUUUCGCAUGAAAUUCAUAUGAAAGCUAUAUGCGCUGCAGGAGAGCUUUGCGUCCUAUUAGCUAGUUGGUGAGGUAACGGCUCACCAAGGCGAUGAUAGGUAGCCGGCCUGAGAGGGUGAACGGCCACAAGGGGACUGAGACACGGCCCUUACUCCUACGGGAGGCAGCAGUGGGGAAUAUUGGACAAUGGACCAAAAGUCUGAUCCAGCAAUUCUGUGUGCACGAUGAAGUUUUUCGGAAUGUAAAGUGCUUUCAGUUGGGACGAAGUAAGUGACGGUACCAACAGAAGAAGCGACGGCUAAAUACGUGCCAGCAGCCGCGGUAAUACGUAUGUCGCAAGCGUUAUCCGGAUUUAUUGGGCGUAAAGCGCGUCUAGGCGGUUUGGUAAGUCUGAUGUGAAAAUGCGGGGCUUAACUCCGUAUUGCGUUGGAAACUGCCAAACUAGAGUACUGGAGAGGUGGGCGGAACUACAAGUGUAGAGGUGAAAUUCGUAGAUAUUUGUAGGAAUGCCGAUGGGGAAGCCAGCCCACUGGACAGAUACUGACGCUAAAGCGCGAAAGCGUGGGUAGCAAACAGGAUUAGAUACCCUGGUAGUCCACGCCGUAAACGAUGAUUACUAGGUGUUGGGGGUCGAACCUCAGCGCCCAAGCUAACGCGAUAAGUAAUCCGCCUGGGGAGUACGUACGCAAGUAUGAAACUCAAAGGAAUUGACGGGGACCCGCACAAGCGGUGGAGCAUGUGGUUUAAUUCGACGCAACGCGAGGAACCUUACCAGCGUUUGACAUCCUAAGAAAUUAGCAGAGAUGCUUUUGUGCCCCUUCGGGGGAACUUAGUGACAGGUGGUGCAUGGCUGUCGUCAGCUCGUGUCGUGAGAUGUUGGGUUAAGUCCCGCAACG
rnacentral:rRNA from 1 species